UUGAAAAGAACUUUGAAGAGAGAGUUCAAGAGUACGUGAAACCGUUCAGGGGUAAACCUAAGAAACCCAAAAGAUCGAACGGGGGAGAUUCAUCGUCAGCGGAGCUGGCUUCGCGUCGGUGGGCGAUGUCCCGGCGGUGUCCUCCGGGGCACGAGCGCGGGCACGCUACCGUGCGCCGAUGUCCGGCCCUCGUCGUCGUGCACUUCUCCCCUAGUAGAACGUCGCGACCCGCUGGGUGUCGGUCCACGGCCCGRGUGCGGUGACUGCCGCGUCGUCGGUAAAACGGCGCGCGGCAAACCCUCGGUCGCCCGGCCGGCUGCCCGGCGGUACGCGCACGGUAUCAGGCCGCACCAACGGUGCGUCGAGAAGCAGUCGGGCGCGCGUCACGGUUACUCGGUGGUAACGGACUCCGUGCCGUCCCCGGUCCUGGCGCGUUCGCUCCGCGCGUGUCUCUAAAGUAGACCUUCGACUGYCCUUGCUUGUGUUUACACAAGCGCGAAUACCGGUCGGCGACGCUACUGCUUUGGGUACUCUUAGGACCCGUCUUGAAACACGGACCAAGGAGUCUAACAUGUACGCGAGUCAUUGGGACUCGGCGAGACCUAAAGGCGAAAUGAAAGUGAAGAUCGGCCCUGGUUGCCGAUCGAGGGAGGAUGGGCCUUGAACGGCUCCGCACUCCCGGGGCGUCUCGCUCUCAUCGCGAGAAGAGGCGCACCCAGAGCGUACACGUUGGGACCCGAAAGAUGGUGAACUAUGCCUGGUCAGGACGAAGUCAGGGGAAACCCUGAUGGAGGUCCGUAGCGAUUCUGACGUGCAAAUCGAUCGUCGGAACUGGGUAUAGGGGCGAAAGACUAAUCGAACCAUCUAGUAGCUGGUUCCCUCCGAAGUUUCCCUCAGGAUAGCUGGCGCUCGUAGCAACGAGUCUCAUCUGGUAAAGCGAAUGAUUAGAGGCCUUGGGGCCGAAACGACCUCAACCUAUUCUCAAACUUUAAAUGGGUGAGAUCUCUGGCUUGCUUGAACAAUGAAGCCACGAGACGUGCGCAUGCGCACGCGGAUCGGAGUGCCAAGUGGGCCAUUUUUGGUAAGCAGAACUGGCGCUGUGGGAUGAACCAAACGCGGAGUUAAGGCGCCCAAUACGACGCUCAUGGGACACCAUGAAAGGCGUUGGUUGCUUAAGACAGCAGGACGGUGGCCAUGGAAGUCGGAAUCCGCUAAGGAGUGUGUAACAACUCACCUGCCGAAGCAACUAGCCCUGAAAAUGGAUGGCGCUGAAGCGUCGAGCCUAUACUCCGCCGUCAGCGGCAAGUGAGGCGGGCUCCCGCGAGGGAGUCCGUCACGAAGCCCUGACGAGUAGGAGGGUCGCGACGGUGUGCGCAGAAGGGUCU
rnacentral:rRNA from 1 species